CCGCCAUUGUAGAGCCGGGGUGCGGCCCGAAACCGCCAAGGAAAAGCGCCAAACAGGGGAAGCCGGUGCAAGUCCGGCGCAGUCCCGCUACUGUAACCGUUCUCAAAGAGAACGGAAGCCAGAUCGCCUGUCUUCAAAUGCUACCGUUG
rnacentral:ncRNA from 2 species